GGAUCAAUAUGUCGGUCGUGCCUUGGUACGUACUAAUUUAUUGGUUUCUUCCUUCUGACGAACCAUGAUGUCAUUAAUUGGGUGUCUUGGGGAAUCAGGACUGUUACUUUGAAAAAAUUAGAGUGUUUGAAGCAGGCUCACGCUUGAAUACAUUAGCAUGGAAUAGUGAAAUAGGACGUUUGAUUCUAUUUUGUUGGUUUCUAGGAUUGACGUA
rnacentral:rRNA from 1 species